AGUGAACGCUGGCGGUAGGCCUAACACAUGCAAGCCGAACGGCAGCACAGGAGAGCUUGCUCUCUGGGUGGCGAGUGGCGGACGGGUGAGGAAUACAUCGGAAUCUACUCUGUCGUGGGGGAUAACGUAGGGAAACUUACGCUAAUACCGCAUACGACCUACGGGUGAAAGCAGGGGACCUUCGGGCCUUGCGCGAUUGAAUAAGCCGAUGUCGGAUUAGCUAGUUGGCGGGGUAAAGGCCCACCAAGGCGACGGUCCGUAGCUGGUCUGAGAGGAUGAUCAGCCACACUGGAACUGAGACACGGUCCAGACUCCUACGGGAGGCAGCAGUGGGGAAUAUUGGACAAUGGGCGCAAGCCUGAUCCAGCCAUACCGCGUGGGUGAAGAAGGCCUUCGGGUUGUAAAGCCCUUUUGUUGGGAAAGAAAUCCAGCUGGCUAAUACCCGGUUGGGAUGACGGUACCCAAAGAAUAAGCACCGGCUAACUUCGUGCCAGCAGCCGCGGUAA
rnacentral:rRNA from 1 species